UAUUUUAAUUAGACCACUAAAAAAUAAUAUUUUGAAUUAUUAUAAUAUAGACUUAUUAAUUUUUUUUUAAUUUGGCCAAUUAAAAAAAUUAACUUUUUUAACUUUUGUUAGAAAUUUUUUUGAAGGUUAAAUGUGAGAGUCCAUAAAAUAUAAAUUAAUAUUUAAAUUUCUCUCAAUUAAAAUUUAAAAUUUUAAAGGGACAAUGGUCCUUGCCAGACCCUUGAGUAUGUUGUUAGCCUACAGUGAUCCAGUCUCCUCCUUCAGCAAAGAUGAUCACUUUAAUGAAUAUAAUCACAUGAAUGAUUAGUUAUUAACUCAUUGCGCUCAUUCUUGACCUUUGUUUGCCUGAGUUGUCGAGUUAAGUUUGAGUUAUGCCAAUUCAAUACUGGAACGUUGCCAACGAUUGUCCAUUCUCUUCCUUUGACAGAUAAGAUUAUCUAAUAGUCUAUAAUUUUUUUCUUUUUUAUUUUUUUCUAUUUUAAUAUUUUCUAAAGGACAGCAUUUAUGUUCUGCAACUGGGAAUACUACGGCAAAAAUUUAUUACAGCAGAAGAUUAUUGCAAAUUCACAGGUUCAUUUACUUGGUCCCAAGCAUGCCAUGUAUCAAAUGAGUAUUGUAAUAUCCUGCGAC
rnacentral:misc_RNA from 1 species